AGUGAACGCUGGCGGUAGGCCUAACACAUGCAAGUCGAACGGCAGCACAGGAGAGCUUGCUCUCUGGGUGGCGAGUGGCGGACGGGUGAGGAAUACAUCGGAAUCUACUCUGUCGUGGGGGAUAACGUAGGGAAACUUACGCUAAUACCGCAUACGACCUACGGGUGAAAGCAGGGGACCUUCGGGCCUUGCGCGAUUGAAUGAGCCGAUGUCGGAUUAGCUAGUUGGCGGGGUAAAGGCCCACCAAGGCGACGAUCCGUAGCUGGUCUGAGAGGAUGAUCAGCCACGCUGGCACUGAGACACGGUCCAGACUCCUACGGGAUGCAGCAAUGGGGAAUAUUGGACAAUGGGCGCAAGCCUGAUCCAGCCAUACCGCGUGGGUGAAGAAGGCCUUCGGGUUGUAAAGCCCUUUUGUUGGGAAAGAAAUCCAGCUGGCUAAUACCCGGUUGGGAUGACGGUACCCAAAGAAUAAGCACCGGCUAACUUCGUGCCAGCCGCCGCCGUAA
rnacentral:rRNA from 1 species